rnacentral:rRNA from 1 species
CCUACGGGUGGCAGCAGUAGGGAAUAUUGCUCAAUGGGCGAAACCCUGAAGCAGCAACGCCGCGUGGAGGAUGAAGGUUUUCGGAUUGUAAACUCCUUUUGUUAGAGAAGAUAAUGACGGUAUCUAACGAAUAAGCACCGGCUAACUCCGUGACAGCAGCCGCGGUAAUACGGAGGGUGCAAGCGUUACUCGGAAUCACUGGGCGUAAAGGGCGCGUAGGGGGGAUAGCAAGUCAGAUGUGAAAUCCUAUGGCUUAACCAUAGAACUGCAUUUGAAACUGUUAUUCUAGAGUAUGGGAGAGGUAGGUGGAAUUCUUGGUGUAGGGGUGAAAUCCGUAGAGAUCAAGAAGAAUACUCAUUGCGAAGGCGACCUGCUAGAACAUAACUGACGCUGAUGCGCGAAAGCGUGGGGAGCAAACAGGAUUAGAUACCCUUGUAGUC